UCUGUGUGUUGAGCCCAAAUCUGCCAACAUGUGACUUCCAUCCUUUGAUCUCAUUUUCUGGGAGCAACACAAAAAAAAUGUGGCUUCCUUGAAAGUUCUUCAUGUAUUUAAAGAUCACUCUCAAGCCUGCAGUCAACCUGGAGUAGGCAGAUGAAGCAGCUGGGGAAAAGACCUCUUGACCUACCAACAAACACCCUGGUCUUGGCUGUUACAUAGUGGGAUAGCUCGAUGUGCAUACAGCGUGGUUGGCAGUAGAAAGAUCAAUAGAGGAGUUUAUAGGGUUUACGAAGACCUGGAUUCUAAUCCUGCCUCAGCUAUUUAUGAGGAAUGGCUUCAAAUGUUCAGUGGAAGUGAACAAGUUCUUGUAUUGUUUUCUCCUAUUCUCCUUCCAGCUUCAGGGUCAUAUGUCACAGCGCUGGGCAUUUCAUUUGGGUAUCUAUCAUCAUUCCCAUUCUGCAAUGAGGAAAUGCUGUCAGAGUGAUUAAGUAAUUUGCCCAUGGUCUCACAUAGAAGCCUGUCUUCUCCAGGGAACACAGCACUCAGAAUCGUCUCGGCCCCUGCAUAAGCCUGCAUGAGCCUGGGCUCUGGGGACCCAUCCUGGUGCAUCAUUCGUUGGCUCUGUGACAAUGGGCACAUCGUUUAACCUCUCUUGGCUUCAUUCUCCUUACUGGAAUGAUGGAGAGAGUUUUGCCUAUUUCAGAGGCUUGCUCUUCUAUACGUGAGCCUAUAAGUAACUUGUCUUAAGAAUUUCCACUCCUUCUGUACUCUGAUUUAAAUUUGAAGGCAUCAAAACAAAAACAAUCAAGAUUUCAGAUUCCAAAUACUUUCAUUUUCAUUUUUUAUUUUGAUUAGAAUUUCUUCUGAAUGAAUUUCUGUUUUGUAAUUUUAGCAUUGCCCUGAGGGGGGGAAAAGGCAGUUUAUCACCAUGCAGUAUAUUUUUCAGACAGCCUCUCUUUGACAAACUGAUUUUUGUCAGUCUCAACUGACUCACCAAUUCCAAAUCCCAGGGCUUCCCUGGGAAACUUCCUUGGAUCAUGGCUCUGCCACACAGGACCGACAUCCCAGAGGCCAAAGCAACCUGCUAUAAACUGAGAUCAUUGCUCAGCAAGCUGGUACCACAUGCAAGGAGUCUCAAGAGCUAACAGGAAAUGAUUCAAGACCAGAAUUACCCAGAACAAGUGUGUUAGCUUCCUCUGCGCAUGGGAUAAUAAGGAGCUUGCAUCACCAACCUUCCGUGAAUAGCCUACUCAGUGAUUCAACAGGUUUCAAAAUUGUGAAAUAAGGGAUGUCUCUUGCAUGGUGUACUUUAGAAGUCUCUACCUGAGGAUGAAGGAAGUACCCAGGAGUAGGCAUCAUUCCACUUUUGUACCAUCUUCCACUAUGUUUAUAUGGGUCCUCACUGAGAAAAAGGUAUUAAAAGUGAGAUGGAAAGAAUAGGUCAGCUAGGUGAAAAAUGGGAGGAAGAGACAGAAGGAUCUGGGUUACAAAAGGCUGAGACCAGGCCGGGCACGGUGGUUCACUCCUGUAAUCCCAGCACUUUGGGAGGCCGAAGCAGGUGGAUCACG
rnacentral:lncRNA from 1 species